rnacentral:lncRNA from 10 species
ACCAGCACUGCUCGCUCACUUGAAGAUGAUGCAGUCAUCUGCCUUGCAAGGCCACAGGCAUUCCUUUCAGAUCCACUUCUACCUCCUGUUUGAGCCAUCAGAUAAAUGAGUAGGGUUGAGUCAUAACAUGAGCCAGCCUGCUGAAAGAGGGAAGAGUUGAUGCUCUCAAAAGGAGAUGUAGGACUGAGCUGACAUAUACCAUCACAAACCAAGACAGGAUAUUUGGUGUUGGAUCAAAGUGAGUAGAAGAUAAGGCUGGAUAAAGGAGGGUCAAUCAAGACAGAGCAUUGUCCUGUGAAACAGGAUUUAACCCUGACAAGCAACCUAGGAGUUGGUGACAACACACUACAAGAUCUUAGAAGCUUGUAGAAAACAUGGCCACAUUAUGUGAGAGAAAGUGCUGGAACUUCCAUGGCAGACAGGAAAAUAAAGGAUCAAAAGGUUAGGAAAAUGUUCUAGAGUGAAUAUACCCUGUUGAGUGCCAGAAAACCCACUCACCAAUGACAGACUGUGGGAGGGGCCAGAGGACACUGUUUAAUAAAGCAAUAAAGUCAUCGGGAUGAGGGGCACCAGCAUCUCUGUGAAGGUCAGUGUGGCUGUCCCCUGUGGCCUUGGGCUGAUAUUGGUGAUACUAGUACAGAACUGGGCUCCCUGAUAACAAUGGGGAUGAUAGUGUCCUGCAGUGAUAAGGGCAGAUUGUGGGCUAUUAUUCUAAUGGCUGGCAAGUUUGGAUUGAAAGAGGGAGAGGUGUCUGACUCACAGAGAUGUGAAGCUGGUUAAUGGAACAUAGCAUCUGUAGGGACAUCUUGGAUGAGCAGCCAAUAAGCAUAUUACUCAAAUUAUACAAUCAGGAUAAAUCGAGGCCAAGAGGGGUGGCUCGCACCUGUAAUCCCAACACUUUGGGAGGCCGAGGCAGGAGGAUUGUUUCAAGAUCAGCCCAGGAAAUGUAGUAAGACCCCCCGCAUCCCUAUAGAAAAUUUAAAAAUUAUCCAGGCAUGGUGGCAUGCAUCUGUACUCCAAGCUACUUGGGAGGCUGAGGUAGGAAGAUCACUUGAGCCCAGGAGUUUGAGACUGCCACGAGCCAUGACGAUGCACGCCACUGAACUUCAGCCUGGCAAAGAAAAGAAAAGAAAAGAAAUCAACCACGGAUCUUCAGGAGAUUGAGACCAAUCAACCCAAUAAAAAUGACCAUAUUCUGCCUCAUUUCUGGAUCCGAGCCACUACUCCGGCUAGGAACUCGUUAACUGAAGGAUAGACCAGGUCCCAGGAAGAAUUCUAUCACCCACAGCAAGUACAUAUGAUAGAUUCCCCCAGUCCUUUUUCCAAAGGGACAUAUAGCCAUUUGUGUGGGUGAACUGGGGGAAUAGGAAUUCCUGACUUUUCAAGGGUUUGAAUUCACAUUGAUACUAAAGGAUCCAAAGCGUCAUCACAUCCCCAUUUGCCAUAGUUAGAGUGGGCACAUUCCACAAGCCAGGUAAUAAAUGCAGUCCUGGGUUCAACACCAGCUUGGGCAACGUAGGGAGUCCUCGACUCUACAAAAAAUUUAAAAAAUAGCUGGGCAUGGUGGCACACACCUGUGGUCUCAGCUACUUAGGAGGCUGAGGUGGGAAGAUCGCUUGACCUCAGGAGGUUAAGGCUGCAGUGAAUUAUGAUCGUGCCACUGCUCUCCAGCCUGGGCGACAAAGCAAGACCCGAUCUCAAACCAAAUAAUAAAAAAUUUGAAAAAUUUUAAAAACCAAGACAUAUGAUAAAAAAUGGUUGUUGUUUUUACUCACUGAGUUUUAUAGUGGUUUAUUAUGCAACAACAGAUAAUAAGACAGAACUUGGUAUUUGGAAAUGGUGUCUGCCUUAAGAAAAACUUGCAGCCUUACCUUGGGACCAGGUGGUAAGCAGGAGAUGGAAGUCCUUAAAGAGCCCAUUACUGAAGGCUUAAAAGACAGUAACGAAAUAGCUAUUGGAGUCUGAAGGAAAGGGGACAUAUUAUAAUUUAUUAACAGGAGGUACAAACCCCACGAAGACAGUGGUGAAACUGUCAUCUGCAGGAACGCGGAAAACAGAAAACGUACAUAAGGAACUGAUAGUUCUGGCUGAGGAUAUUUAUAGGCACACUGUUGAAAGUACUAAUUGUUUUUAUUUUGCUUUGUUUUGUUUUUAGCUGCCUAUGAAAAGUACAUGAGGAGUAGAAUAGAAAAACAAGAGAAAUGUACAGUUUUAAAGCAAAAUUUAGGGGAAAUAUAAAGGAAUCAGGAUUUGGUUUGGUACCCCUUUGUGGGAUGACCCUCUAUUGAAAUUUGUGUGACGUUUUCAUUGUGAAUAGAGUGGGAAUAUAAAUUUUUGGAAGGAAGACCACAGAGGUGAAGAGCUACAUCCUGUCAAGGGUACAUACCAUCAACAUGACUUAUCACUGUUGAUGUUGAUCUUGAUCACCUGGCUGAGGUAGUACUUGUCAGAUUUCUUCACUUAAAGUUACUCUUUUCUCCUUUCCAUACUGAACUCUUUGGAAGGAAGUCACUUAAGGAGUCAGGAGUUGUGCUUCUCUUCCUUGAGGGCUCACUUUUACUUUUCUUUUCUUUCUUUCUUUUUUUUUUUUUUUUUUUUUUAAUCGUAGAGACAGGGUCUAUGUUGCCCAGGCCAGUCUUGAACUCCUGGCGUCAACUGAUCCUCCCGCCUUGGCCUCCCAAAGUGCUGGAACUACAGGUGUGAGCCACUGGGCCUGGCCUUCAACUUUCUUUUUAAUUAAAUGUGCUUAAAUCUGUUUCUGGGUUCUGAAUUGUUUCCAUUGGUCUGCUUAUCUAUCCUUGCUUCAAUAUCACACUGUGUUAUAUAAGGGGGAAAAUCCCCUCAAAAUAAUUCAUAUUUUCAUUUUUAAUUGUGAUAAAAUAUACAUACAACAAAAUGUACAUCUUAGCCAUUUUUAAGUGUAGAGUUCAGUAGAAUUAGUACAUUCAUGCUGUUGUACAACCAGUCUCUGGAACUCUUUUGAUAAUACAAAACUGAAACCUUACACUCAUUUAAAAACAACUCUCUAUUUCUCCCUUCCCCCAGCCACUGGCAACCACCAUUCUACUUUCUAUCUCUACGAAUUUAACUAUUCUGUGUACCUGAUACAAGCAGAAUUAUACAAGUCAUACAAAUCAUCAAUUUGUCUUUUGUGAGUGAUAUAUUUCACGUAAGCAUAACAUCUUCAAGAUUCCUCCAUGUUGUAGCAUUGUCAGAAUUUCCCUCCUAUUAAGGCUGAAU